CGGCUCACCAAGCCAAAGACGGGUAGCCGGACUGAGAGGUUGAACGGCCACACUGGAACUGAGAUACGGUCCAGACUCCUACGGGAGGCAGCAGUGGGGAAUCUUGCGCAAUGGGGGAAACCCUGACGCAGCGACGCCGCGUGGAGGAUGAAGGUCUUCGGGUUGUAAACUCCUUUUGUAGGGGAAAAUGGUGAUGGUACCCUACGAAUAAGCCACGGCUAACUCUGUGCCAGCAGCCGCGGUAAGACAGAGGUGGCGAGCGUUGUUCGGAAUUACUGGGCUUAAAGGGCGAGUAGGCGGUAGGGCAAGUCCAAGGUGGAAUCCUAUGGCUCAACCAUAGAAUUGCCUUGGAAACUGUUUUACUUGAGUCAGUGAGGGGAGGGCGGAAUUCCUGGUGUAGCGGUGAAAUGCGUAGAUAUCAGGAGGAAGGCCUGUGGCGAAGGCGGCCCUCUGGCACUGGACUGACGCUGAGGCGCGAAAGCGUGGGGAGCAAACAGGAUUAGAUACCCUGGUAGUCCACGCCCUAAACGGUGGGCAUUAGGUGUAGGGCUCGUUAGGGUUCUGUGCCGCAGGGAAACCAUUAAAUGCCCCGCCUGGGGAAUACGGCCGCAAGGUUAAAACUCAAAGGAAUUGACGGGGGCCCGCACAAGCGGUGGAGCAUGUGGUUUAAUUCGACGCUACGCGAAGAACCUUACCUGGGCUUGACAUGUUAGUGGUAAGAACCCGAAAGGGGGAUGACCCCGACUUUGUUGGGGAGCUAACACAGGUGCUGCAUGGCUGUCGUCAGCUCGUGCCGUGAGGUGUUGGGUUAAGUCCCGCAACGAGCGCAACCCUUAUUCUCUGUUGGUCGGAAACGACCUCUCUGAGGAAACUGCCAGCGAUGAGCUGGAGGAAGGUGGGGACGACGUCAAGUCAUCAUGGCCCUUACGUCCAGGGCGACACACGUGCUACAAUGGCCGCUACAGAGGGUCGCAAUACCGCGAGGUGGAGCCAAUCCCUAAAAGCGGUCUCAGUUGGGAUCGGAGUCUGCAACUCGACUCCGUGAACGAGGAAUCGCUAGUAAUCGUGGAUCAGCCAUGCCACGGUGAAUACGUUCCCGGGCCUUGUACACACCGCCCGUCACACCACGAAAGUCUGUUGUACCCGAAGCUGGUGCACUAACCCGCAAGGGAGGUAGCUAUCUAAGGUAUGACCGGUGAUUGGGGUGAAGUCGUAACAAGGUAGCCGUAGGGGAACCUGCGGCUG
rnacentral:rRNA from 1 species